rnacentral:rRNA from 1 species
UACGGGGGGGGCAAGCGUUGUUCGGAAUUACUGGGCGUAAAGGGUGCGUAGGCGGUUCGCUAAGUUGGAUGUGAAAACUCUGGGCUUAACCCAGAGCCUGCAUCCAAUACUGACGAGCUAGAGUUCUGGAGGGGGUAGCGGAAUUCCUGGUGUAGCGGUGAAAUGCGUAGAUAUCAGGAGGAACACCGGUGGCGAAGGCGGGUCUCUGGGCAACAACUGACGCUGAGGAGCGAAAGCGUGGGGAGCGAACAGG